GAAAGGGAUACUUCUUCGGACAAUAUACAAGGUGCUGCAUGGUUGUCGUCAGCUCGUGCCGUGAGGUGUCGGGUUAAGUCCCAUAACGAGCGCAACCCCUAUCAUUAGUUGCCAUCAGGUCAAGCUGGGGACUCUAAUGAAACUGCCUACGCAAGUAGUGAGGAAGGUGGGGAUGACGUCAAAUCAGCACGGCCCUUACGUCCAGGGCUACACACGUGCUACAAUGGCCGGUACAAAGGGUUGCCAAGCCGCGAGGUGGAGCUAAUCCCAUAAAACCGAUCGUAGUCCGGAUCGCAGUCUGCAACUCGACUGCGUGAAGUCGGAAUCGCUAGUAAUCGUGAAUCAGAAUGUCACGGUGAAUACGUUCCCGGGCCUU
rnacentral:rRNA from 1 species